rnacentral:rRNA from 1 species
GAUGAACGCUGGCGGCGUGCCUAAUACAUGCAAGUCGAGCGAACAGACGAGGAGCUUGCUCCUCUGACGUUAGCGGCGGACGGGUGAGUAACACGUGGAUAACCUACCUAUAAGACUGGGAUAACUUCGGGAAACCGGAGCUAAUACCGGAUAAUAUAUUGAACCGCAUGGUUCAAUAGUGAAAGACGGUUUUGCUGUCACUUAUAGAUGGAUCCGCGCCGCAUUAGCUAGUUGGUAAGGUAACGGCUUACCAGGGCAACGAUGCGUAGCCGACCUGAGAGGGUGAUCGGCCACACUGGAACUGAGAAACGGUCCAGACUCCUACGGGAGGCAGCAGUAGGGAAUCUUCCGCAAUGGGCGAAAGCCUGACGGAGCAACGCCGCGUGAGUGAUGAAGGUCUUCGGAUCGUAAAACUCUGUUAUUAGGGAAGAACAAAUGUGUAAGUAACUAUGCACGUCUUGACGGUACCUAAUCAGAAAGCCACGGCUAACUACGUG